rnacentral:misc_RNA from 1 species
AGAAUAUCCUAUGCAUGUAUUAUGUAAAGAAAAUUACAAGAUGCUCCCUUUGGUCUGCAAUUUCAUUCUUCUUCUUCUUCGUCAAUGAUUUUGAUGGUAAUUUUUUUAUUCCUUAAUUAUUUAUUUGAGUUGGGAACAGAUCUAGAUGUUCUGGUAUGCGAUGUAUCACGCGUGCUCCAUUUCCAUUACCACUCAUCUCUAAAAGCCUCCACUUUUGACUCCUCUCCCUCCCAUACCCAUCUCCACCACCAUGACAGCACCCACCACCAACGCCACCAGAACAAAAUUUCCUCGCUCAAAAUCCAAAUGCAUACUCUUUACCAUCAUUGCUUCUGUCCUGCUUUUGUCUCUCGUCGCUAUUAUCCUCUUUUUUACCCUUCGUCACAAAAUCUCACAUUCCCACUCUCCAAAUUCAUCUUCAAGCUCAAACUUACCAAUAGCUGCUAUCCAAUUAGCCUGCCAAGCCACACAACACCGGGAAACUUGUCAAACCUCUCUAUCUCAGUCCAAUCUUGUCCCUCCCAAUCCUACCCCACUUCAAAUUAUACAAUCUGCAUUGUGGGUCUCCUCCCAAAACCUCACAAUUGCACAAUCAAUGUUGAAGUCCCUCCUAGCCUCCGCCGCCAGUAACCAAAACGUCACUAACGUUGUCAAAAGUUGUUUGGAGAUUUUGGGUUUUUCCCAGUACCGCAGUUCAGUGUCGAAUGACACUUUGCCAUUCGGUAAGACCAAAGAUGUUCGUGCUUGGAUGAGUGCGGCGGUGGCUUACCAAUACGAUUGUUAUGGAGGACUGAGUUAUCAAGGCGGCAACUCGCAGGAAGUCAAUGAAACGAAGGCUUUUCUUGACAAUUUGAUUGGGCUCAGCAGCAAUGCUUUAAGCAUGAUUGUCUCUUACGAUUUAUUUGGCAACGAAACCCGGUCCUGGCGACCACCAAAAACAGAGCGAGAUGGGUUCUGGGAGGACCCAAAGUUGCGCGGUGAAAUGGGGUUUAGCGGUGAGUUUCCGUCAAACUUAACAGUGGAUGCGACGGUGUGUAAGAAUGUGAGUAGUGGAUGUUACAAAACGGUACAGGAAGCUGUUAGUGCAGCUCCCAGUAAUGCGACGGCGCGAAGGUUUGUGAUACACAUAAAGGAGGGGGUUUAUGAGGAGAUCGUUAGGGUCCCGAUUGAGAAGAAAAAUGUGGUCUUCUUAGGCGAUGGAAUGGGGAAAACGGUAAUUACAGGGUCGUUGACUGUUGGUCAGCCUGGUGUCAAUACAUAUGAGUCUGCUACUGUUGGUAAGUUUAAACCAUUUCCAAGCUUCUCCAUGACCAUAGUUGGGAAUAUGCUGGAUAUGCCAGCUUUACCAAACCAUGCUUCCUAAGAAGCAGCUUGGUGUGGCACCCGUGGUGCCAAACUGGGCCAGAAUCUGCUUAUUUGCUCCCUUUUUUUUUUCUAUAAAUUAACUCCUGUUUUGAUUUAUUUUAAGGCAAGCUCCACAGAAUCUGCUGCUAAUUCAUGAAUCAGUAUAAAUAAUGUAGGCGUAUACACUAUACUGUGACAUAUAAUUAAUUUUAUUAUAUAUACGCUAUCACAUGAUCUGCAAUUCUGCAUCCACAUCCUGAAGUAUCCGCAUGGUUAAGUAAAUGAAUGUGAAGUCUGAAUUAAAGUGCUUGUUGCUUUCAGUAUUUUUAAUUGCUGAUUUUUCCUGUCAAAAUUCUCUGUUAUAAAUGAAGCAAAUCAUCAAUUGUGUUUUUGUUGUCUGGCCGGUUCAAAGUUUAUGCUUUUGCCUCUGGCCGAUGAUUUGGAAGAAAAAUCAUUACUACAACUUGUAGGCAUGAACAUUUUCAACCCAUUAGUACAAUGUUUUGUGUGUUGAUUUCAUGGAGGUCUCUGAAGGAAAAGAAUUUUGCUGAUGCAUCUGUAUAUAUUUGAAAACUCUAAAAUGAUGCACAUUCUCCAAAUUAGAAAAGAAAUCAAGUGAAAUGUAUCACAAAGCUUUUCUUUAAAAUUCAUGGUCUAUACAUUGUAGUUUGAUAUGUUCUGUAAUUUUGCUGAAGGGGUUCUUGGUGAUGGAUUCAUGGCUAGUGGUGUCACAUUCCAGAAUGCAGCAGGUCCUCCUACCCACCAAGCAGUGGCUUUUAGAUCAGACAGUGAUCUAUCAUAUAUUGAGAACUGUGAAUUCCUAGGCAAUCAAGAUACUUUGUAUGCUCAUUCUCUUCGCCAAUUCUAUAAAUCAUGUCGGAUUCAGGGCAAUGUCGAUUUCAUUUUUGGAAACUCAGCAGCAGUUUUCCAAGAUUGUCAAAUCUUAGUUGUUCCCAGGCAAGAAAAUCCGGAAAAAGGCGAACAAAAUGCUGUCACUGCACACGGCAGGACAGACCCUGCCCAAUCAACAGGUUUUGUGUUUCAAAAUUGUUCGAUCAAUGGCACUGCAGAGUACAUGGCAUUAUACAAUGGCAACCCAAAGGUUCACAGGAAUUACUUGGGAAGGCCUUGGAAGGAAUACUCAAGAGUCAUUUACAUAAAUUGCAAUUUUGAAUCUCUCAUAACAGCAGACGGGUGGAUGCCUUGGAGUGGCGAUUUCGCACUGAAUACGCUAUACUAUGGAGAAUACAAAAAUUCUGGUCCAGGAUCUAAUUUGUCUCAGAGAGUCACCUGGAGCAGUCAGAUUCCGGCAGAGCAUGUAAACACAUAUUCAGCACAGAAUUUCAUUCAAGGAGACGAAUGGAUGCCUACAUCUUCUUGAAUAUUCAAAAUAAAUAAUGCUGUAUACUAACUUUAUUUGUAAUAAUGUUGUGUGCUGCAUUACACUUGUUUACAGAAUCAAUAUGGCGAGUGGUAAUGAAUUUGCUUAAUUUAUAGAUUGAUUACAGGCGUUGUAAUCAAUUUGAACAA